rnacentral:tRNA from 1 species
GGUUACGUGGCCGAGUGGCUAGGCAGAGGUCUGCAAAACCUCCUACGGCGGUUCGACCCCGCCCGUAACCUCCC